AUGCUCCUACGGGACGCAGCAGUGGGGAAUAUUGCGCAAUGGGCGAAAGCCUGACGCAGCGACGCCGCGUGAGGGAUGAAGGUCUUCGGAUCGUAAACCUCUGUCAGCAGGGAAGAACGGUCACUGUGCUAAUCAGCAGUGAAUUGACGGUACCUGCAAAGGAAGCACCGGCUAACUCCGUGCCAGCAGCCGCGGUAAUACGGAGGGUGCGAGCGUUAAUCGGAAUUACUGGGCGUAAAGCGCUCGUAGGCGGUAUGUCAAGUCAAGGGUGAAAUCCCGGGGGUCAACAUGGGAACUGCCUUUGG
rnacentral:rRNA from 1 species